AUCUCCUCUCUGUAAACGGAUUGACCCUUUCUGGACCUUUCACGGGGACCUUUGCAUCCGGCUGCUUUCGUCUGGCGGGAUGUUUUCGAGGUUCGCCCGUGUUGCGGCGGGUGUCCCAACUCCCUUCUUUCGCCGGCUGAGUAUGUCCCGCGAGUGGAGGGACCACAUUUAAUCUCAUCCACUGACGGAAGUUACCUUCUGUCACCUUUGGGCUCUGUGACUAACUCUGCCCUGAACACAGGCUCACCUUCUCUGGGGCGCACACCCUGGAGCGGAAUUGCCGGCUCACGUGCUCCCUGCAGGGGGAGCGUCGGGGAACCGUGGGGCUGUGGUCCAACGCGGCUGCACGGCUAGGCGUCCCCACCCCAUGCAGAGCCCGCGGCUCCAUCGCGCCCCUCCCAGCGCUGCCCGCCCCGUCUUUGGUUCUGGCCGUCCUAGAGGACGUCCCCGGUUCUUGGGGCUCCCAGCACGUCCCAAGGAAAGGCUGAAGCAGCUGCCCCCAUGGCAUAUGGAAGUUCCUGGGCCAGGGAUCGAAUCUGAGCUGGAGCUGCGACCUAUGCCACACCGGCAGCAACGCUGGAUCCUCAGCCCGCUGUACCCGGCCGGGGGAUUGAACUGGUGCCUCCGCAGUGAUGAGCCGGAUCCUUAGCCCACUGCGCCACAGCCAGAACACCCAGACAUCUCUUCGAGUUGAGAGUUUGGUUUGAUUCGGAUAAAUACCUAGCAGUGGGAUUGCUGGACCAGCUGGUAGAGUCACCUGUUUAAUUUUUUGAGGAGCCUCCCUGCUGUUCUCCACGCCCGCCGCCCCGGUUUGCGUUCCCCCCACCAGCGCGCGCCGGUGCCCUUUGGCGCACGCUCUCUCCGGCGCUCGCUCUUUCUUGCCUUUUUGGUGACGGCCGUUCUGACAGGGGCGAGGCGAUGUCUCACUGCGGUUUGAUUAGAUUCCCCGACAAGGAGUGACACUGAGCAUCUCUUCCUGUGCCCGUGGGCCAUCUGUAUGUCUUCUUCGGAAAAAUGCCUCUGCAGCUCUUUUGCCCACCUUUAAAUCAACUGUUUGGUUUUUCCUAUUGGAUUGUAUGCGUUCUUUAUAUAUUCAGGAUACUGACUCCUUAUCAGACCUGAUCUGCGGAGAUUUUCUCCGCGUCCGUAGGUCGCCGUUUUGCUCUGGUGAUGUUUCCCGUGCUGUGCAGAAGCUUCUAGAGCAGUGUCAUCCCACGUGUUUAUUUUUACUUUUGCUGCCUUUGCUUUUGGUCUCAAAUCCAAAACGUCACCGCCAAGACCUGUGUCACGAAGCAUAUGCUGCCCAAGGUUCCUUCUAGGAGGUUUAUGCUUUCAGGUCUUACGGCCAAGGCUGUAACCUGUUUUGAGUUCGGGUGUGUGUGUAGGCCUCAUGCUUUGGCUCGUGGCCGUCCUGUUCCCAGCACCACUUAUCGAAGAGACUGUCCUUUUCCUAAUCGCAUAUUCUUGGCUCCUUGUCUUGAAUGAACAGAUGAUCCGUGGGUGGGUUCAUUCCGGACUCUCCAGUCUCGUGCAUCCUUCUACGUGUGUCCGUUUUUACGACAGCACCACACCAUUUGAAUGCUGGAGCUUUGUCACAUAGACUGAAAUCAGGACGUGGGAUGCUUCCAACUUUGGUUCCUUUUCCUCAACUUCCAACUUUUGUUCCUUUUCCAGUUCCCCGGUCAUCAUCCCAGUUCCCCAGCUUCCAGCCCUUCCUGCUCCCCUUCCCUUACAGCUAGCUCUUCCUGCUCUUUGACCAAUGCCGCUGCUCAGCCUCUCUCUUUAGGCCCAAACCAAGUCCUGGUUCCAAAGAUUGAGUGGAUGAGCCAGGCCCUGCUGAUGGUAGACACAGUUAACGCGGAGAACUUGGUCGAAAUCACAGUCUUCGGACGACCAACUGUACAACAUCGGGUGAAGAACGUCCUCCUUAGCCUAGCGUCGAGGCACCGAGAGCAUCGUGCCUGAGCUGAAAAGAUGGAACAACUCGAGGAGUUCUUGAAGGCCCUUGCAUCAGGUCCCUAGAACCCCCAGCAUCCUGUUGCAUAAGCAUUGUCAGGAGCAUGAGAACAGUCCUGCUUCUGCUACUCAAGUUCAAGAGAAGCAAAUAUCCUUAAAUCUCUGCAUUUUUUUCCUGUGUCCUGAUGGUUUAUUAUUUUGAUGUAAAUGUGAGUUUGUAAUGCCACUGAGUAAAUAAAUGAAUUUCCUUUUUUGUUCAAUA
rnacentral:lncRNA from 1 species